AACCAGCAAUAGUCCAAUUACCUUCGAUUGUUCAUAUGAUGGCAAAUGCGCACACACCGCCCGAUCAACGCACCAUCCUCCGGACUUCGUCGAACCGGACGAAGUUGAGGAACUCAUCAUAGAUCCACCCGAACUUGUCCAUGAAUGAGGUGUCGGCGCUGACCCUCGGGUAAUUCUUGAGGCUGUCCUCCCACACGUUCGGUCUUUCAAGGUCCCUCAUCACCUCCCACACGCACGUGUUGCUUUUGAACCCGGCCCCGAGGCUUAUCAUCAGCACCUUGUCCCCUCUCUUCAGCCGCUUCUUCGCCUCCAUAUAAGCCAGCACGUACC
rnacentral:lncRNA from 1 species